GUGGGCGGAAGCUCAUUGUAGAGGUCACGUGCCGAGUGCUCGUCACUCCACCAAUCGCCUCGGGGAAGGUCUGAGACAAGAGCCAAUGGUUGCCCUCGCAGGGCAUCACCUGAUGCGGGUGAGCGAGUGAACAGAGAGGUUGGGCCACUGUGGGCGGUCCUAGCAGGAGAAGCCGCGGCGGGGCAGCUUAACGCUCCGCCCGGCGGAUGCGACCCCCACCGGCUUGGAAUCGCUCGCGGCUGGCGAAUGAGUGCGAUGGAUGAGGUGGAGCACCGCUCCAGAACCCAAUUCAGACUACUCUCCCCCCAC
rnacentral:RNase_P_RNA from 1 species